CCUACGGGUGACAGCAGUGGGGAAUAUUGCACAAUGGGGGAAACCCUGAUGCAGCGACGCCGCGUGUGUGAAGAAGUCUUUCGGUAUGUAAAGUACUAUCAGCAGGGAAGAAAAUGACGGUAUCUGACUAAUAAGCCCCGGCUAACUACGUGCCAGCAGCCGCGGUAAUACGUAGGGGGCAAGCGUUAACCGGAUUUACUGGGGGGAAAGGGAGCGUAGACGGCGGUGCAAGUCCGGCGUGAAAGCCCAUGGCUUAACCAUGGAACUGCACUUGAAACUGUGGAGCUUGAGUGCGGGAGGGGCAGGCAGAAUUCCUGGUGUAGCGGUGAAAUGCGUAGAGAUUAGGAGGAACACCGGCGGCGAAGGCGGCCUGCUGGACCAUAACUGACGUUGAGGCGCGAAAGCGUGGGGAGCAAACAGGAUUAGAUACCCGAGUAGUC
rnacentral:rRNA from 1 species